UCUUCAAACCUCACUCAGUCAGUGGAGGCAUCUGCAGACCUCCAUCACAUGACAGAGUCACACUCAGUGAUGUGAUGUAAGAUCCCAGAGACCAUAUCUAAAAUUCGUCAUAGUCAGCCUGACAAGUCAUAAUGAUCGGCUUUCUCCUCUUCGGUUGUCUGGCAGGUGUUAGUCUGGGUCUUGAUGUGCGUCAGUCUCCCUCUGAGCUCAUCAAAUCUCCUGGAGACAAAGUGCAGCUCUCCUGCAGCCACGACAGAACAGACUACAGAUUGAUUCUCUGGUACCAGCGCUCACCUGGAGACACAGCUCUGAAACUCAUUGGGUAUUUGUAUUUUAAAGAUGCCACAAUGGAGGAGCCAUUUAAAGAUGAUUUUGUCAUGUCUGGAGAUCUGGGUGGGAGUGCAGCAAAGAAUGCCUCUCUAAUAUUCAAAGCUGUGAAACCAGAGCACGGUGCAGUUUACUACUGUGCAGCGAGAGAAGCACGCUGACAGGAAUCCCCUCUGAACUUUACAAAAACUCUGAACCAUCUUCUUUCAUGAGACGUGGAAUAAACUGCUCAGACACACCUGCAUUUGUGGUUGUAUUUUGGUUUGAUGCAAUCAUUUCAUCAUCAGCAAAUACACUUGUGUUUGUAUUUGUUUGGUUUAUU